rnacentral:rRNA from 1 species
AGUAACGGCGAGUGAAGCGGCAACAGCUCAAAUUUGAAAUCUGGCGCAAGCCCGAGUUGUAAUUUGUAGAGGAUGCUUCAGGGCAGCGGCCGGUCUAAGUUCCUUGGAACAGGACGUCAUAGAGGGUGAGAAUCCCGUAUGCGACCGGUUGGCACCCGUCACGUAGCUCCUUCGACGAGUCGAGUUGUUUGGGAAUGCAGCUCUAAAUGGGAGGUAAAUUCCUUCUAAAGCUAAAUACCGGCCAGAGACCGAUAGCGCACAAGUAGAGUGAUCGAAAGAUGAAAAGCACUUUGGAAAGAGAGUUAAAAAGCACGUGAAAUUGUUGAAAGGGAAGCGCAUGCAACCAGACUCGUCGGCGGUGUUCCGCCGGUCUUUUGACCGGUCUACUCGCCGCCGGCGGGCCAGCAUCACUUGGGGGCGCCGGAUAAAGGCGCGGGGAAUGUGGCUCCUCGGAGUGUUAUAGCCCCGCGCACAAUACGGCGAUCCUCGAGUGAGGUCCGCGCUUCGGCUAGGAUGCUGGCGUAAUGGUUGUUUGCGGCCCGUCUUGAAACACGGACCAAGGAGUCUACCAUCUAUGCGAGUGUUCGGGUGUCAAACCCCUACGCGUAAUGAAAGUGAACGGAGGUGGGAACCGCAAGGUGCACCAUCGACCGAUCCUGAUGUCUUCGGAUGGAUUUGAGUAAGAGCAUAGCUGGUGGGACCCGAAAGAUGGUGAACUAUGCCUGAAUAGGGUGAAGCCAGAGGAAACUCUGGUGGAGGCUCGCAGCGGUUCUGACGUGCAAAUCGAUCGUCAAAUUUGGGUAUA